rnacentral:rRNA from 1 species
UACGAAGGGGGCUAGCGUUGCUCGGAAUCACUGGGCGUAAAGCGCACGUAGGCGGACUCUUAAGUCGGGGGUGAAAUCCUGGAGCUCAACUCCAGAACUGCCUUUGAUACUGAGAGCCUUGAGUCCGGAAGAGGUAAGUGGAACUGCGAGUGUAGAGGUGAAAUUCGUAGAUAUUCGCAAGAACACCAGUGGCGAAGGCGGCUUACUGGUCCGGUACUGACGCUGAGGCACGAAAGCGUGGGGAUCAAACAGG